rnacentral:rRNA from 1 species
CGUGGAGACAGGUGGUGCAUGGCUGUCGUCAGCUCGUGUCGUGAGAUGUUGGGUUAAGUCCCGCAACGAGCGCAACCCUCACCUCUUGUUGCCAUCAGGUCAUGCUGGGCCCUCUAGAGGAACUGCCCCGGUCAACGGGGAGGAAGGCGGGGAUGACGUCAAGUCAUCAUGCCCCUUACGUCCUGGGCUACACACGUGCUACAAUGGCCGGUACAAAGGGAUGCCACACCGCGAGGUAGAGCUAAACCCAAAAAGCCGGUCUAAGUUCAGAUUGGAGUCUGCAACUCGACUCCAUGAAGGAGGAAUCGCUAGUAAUCGCGUAUCAGCACGACGCGGUGAAUACGUUCCCGGGCCUUGUACACACCGCCCGUCACACCACGAAAGCCUGCUGUACUCGAAGUCGCUGAG